UCUUUCACAUUACUUUUUAUUUUCUUAUUACGACUGGAAUAAAAAUAAACAAUUUCGAAAUCUAAAUGAUUAA
rnacentral:tRNA from 1 species